rnacentral:rRNA from 1 species
GUGCACGCUGGCGGUAGGCCUAACACAUGCAAGUCGCACGGCAGCACAGUAAGAGCUUGCUCUUACGGGUGGCGAGUGGCGGACGGGUGAGGAAUACAUCGGAAUCUACUUUUUCGUGGGGGAUAACGUAGGGAAGCUUACGCUAAUACCGCAUACGACCUACGGGUGAAAGCAGGGGAUCUUCGGACCUUGCGCGAUUGAAUGAGCCGAUGUCGGAUUAGCUAGUUGGCGGGGUAAAGGCCCACCAAGGCGACGAUCCGUAGCUGGUCUGAGAGGAUGAUCAGCCACACUGGAACUGAGACACGGUCCAGACUCCUACGGGAGGCAGCAGUGGGGAAUAUUGGACAAUGGGCGCAAGCCUGAUCCAGCCAUACCGCGUGGGUGAAGAAGGCCUUCGGGUUGUAAAGCCCUUUUGUUGGGAAAGAAAAGCAGCAGGUUAAUACCCCGCUGUUCUGACGGUACCCAAAGAAUAAGCACCGGCUAACUUCGU